rnacentral:lncRNA from 1 species
GCGGCGGCGGUGACGGAGUUCUCCGAGGAGGUUGGCGGCGAGAUGUACAAGCAGGGCGGCUUGCAAGAAAAGGGGAAGGGAGUGCCGGUGUUCGUGAUGAUGCCGCUGGACAGCGUGACGAUGUCGAAUACUGUGAAUAGAAAGAAGGCGAUCGACGCGAGUCUCAGGGCGUUGAAGAGCGCGGGAGUGGAAGGAGUUAUGAUGGACGUGUGGUGGGGCCUGGUCGAGAGGGACCAGCCCGGCCAUUACAAUUGGGGUGGCUAUUCUGACUUGCUCGAAAUGGCCAAACGACACGGC